UGGAUCCUAACCAUGCUGCAGAGCAAGGCAGAAUGAAGAGGGAUGCCCAUCAAAGGGCUAGAAAUUCACUGUACAAACAUUUGAGGGCUCAUGAAAAAGUUCAGGAAACAUGGGGAGGGGGUAGUUCACCCCUUCGCCUUCCCUGGAGAAUCAAAAUAUCACAGAAUAUGGAUUCCAUUCUGUGUGGUUCCUUCCAACAGAGCUUUCCUUUGUAGGUGUUUAGGGAGCGACUCACCACUGUGAAAGAAACACCGCUUUGAAAACGACCCUGCUUAGAGAGUUAUUUAUUCACUUUCAUUUCAACUCAUCUGCCUACAAAAAUAACAACGAUGGGAAUGCAUUCAGAGAAACAAAGCUUUCAUCACUGGAAGAUGGGUUCAACACAAAAUUAAUCACAGCUUUCUGAAAGCCAAUCUGUGAAAGUCUGUUGGACUUCUGCAGCAAUGGAUACCUUGCCAAUGCUGGAAUCAGCAAAGCCUGAAGAUUUUCCAGUGGCAGUCAUGGAAAUGUUUACUUACAUUCCAAACUGCUGCCACCUUUCACACAAAUUGACACAUCCAAGCGAUUCUCUCUUGCGUUGUCCAGUGAUUUGGGAUGGAGACCAUCUUGGAAACAUUAUGAUAUAUCUUUCUUUCCAGAAUAAUAUGUGAAUAGCUUAAA